rnacentral:tRNA from 1 species
GUGGCUGAAUGGUAAAGCGCUCGACUUCCAAACUCAGAGGUCCCAGGUUCAAAUCCUGAC